rnacentral:lncRNA from 1 species
CGGCUACGAUUUUUGGUACCAACCUCGACAUAAAACAAUGAUCAGCUCAUCAUGGGGUGCUCCUGUUGCCUUCACCAAAGGUUUCGAUCUUCAGCAUGUCACGGAUGGUCUGUAUGGGAGACAUCUGUAUGUGUAUAGUUGGCCUGACGGUGAACUUAAACAAACAUUGGAUCUCGGUGACACCGGUCUCAUACCCUUAGAGGUGAUUGAUUACAUGUUACUACUUCGUUUUUUGCUCGGUUUUGCUCGAAGGCGAUACUUAGUUUUGUUUCAUUUUCAUUGCAGACAAGAUUCCUGCAUGAUCCAUCUAAAGAUACAGGGUACGUUGGGUGCGCCUUAACAAGUAACAUGGUUCGGUUUUUCAAAACCAAAGACGGAUCAUGGAGUCAUGAGGUGGGAUCAUAUAAUCUUGCAUUACCAAUGCUCAUAAAUUUGGACAAGCCUUAUUAUGUACAUUUUAACUUCUGCAGGUGGCAAUCUCAGUGAAACCAUUGAAGGUGCAAAACUGGAUUCUUCCCGAAAUGCCCGGACUUAUAACUGACUUCCUAAUCUCUCUCGAUGAUCGUUUUCUGUAUUUCGCCAACUGGCUGCACGGAGAUGUCCGACAAUACAACAUUGAGGACCCCAAAAACCCGGUCUUGGUCGGCCAAGUAUGGGUUGGAGGAUUGAUCCAAAAGGGAAGCCCUGUAGUGGCUAUGACAGAAGAUGGUAAAACAUGGCAAUCCGAUGUUCCGGAAAUCCAGGUUUGUUCUAACAUUCAUAUCAACUUGUUCAGAUUAAUCAUAUCAAUGGCGAUCGAUGAACAUUGUUACAUCCUUUUACAGGGACAUCGCCUAAGAGGAGGACCGCAGAUGAUCCAAUUGAGCCUAGACGGUAAACGAUUAUAUGUGACGAACUCUCUAUUCAGCUCAUGGGAUCGACAAUUCUAUCCAGAACUCGUGGAGAAAGGUUCCCACAUGUUGCAGAUCGAUGUCAACACCGAGGAAGGCGGUCUUAAAACAAACCCAAACUUCUUUGUCGAUUUUGGAGCCGAACCUGAUGGACCUUCCCUGGCUCAUGAGAUGAGAUAUCCAGGUGGUGACUGCACUUCAGAUAUAUGGACUUAAACAUCUCAAAAACCAGUUUCAGCCAUGAAGAAAAUCAUCCUUUUAAUUUUGUAGGACUAAAAUAAAAAUCAGUGCAAUCUGUAUGUGAGUCAAUUUGAUAGAUAAUGUAAUGUUAAGGGGUUAAUUUAGCAAUAUAUCUUAAAUUUAAUCGACUUCCUGUUAAACGCCUUUUAACAUUGGACUUAAUUUAAAUUAACUGGCAGCUUAUCCAACAUUGACACGCGUUCCAACGAUGAUCCCACUAUACAUUCGGAUAAGAUACCAUUGGACAAACACAAAUGUCUCCAGUUCUCAAAACUGUAAGACGCGUGGCAAUCUAUCCACCGUCAGUUGAGAUUAAUGCUGACAUGGUAAGGAAAAUCGAUAAUCUCAAACACCGCGCCCAUAGAAAAAAUUGAUAGUUAUUUAUUUUUGAUAAUUCCCAUGUGACAUUUUCAUUCGAAGGGCAACAUUUUCUCCUCACAAUGGUGGACAUUUAUGUAAAAUAAAAAUAAAGAUUUGAAUCCCAAAGAUUCGGUUUGAUUUGUCGAUUAAGUUUUAUGAUGAUUGGUACGGGUAUUAUUAUCAAUGUAAGAGGAUAUGUGUUCGAGUGCGUUGAAAAAUAUUAUCCUCCUAUUUAUAGAUCAGAGAGGAACUAUAAGCAAUUCUAGAUAUUAUGUUAAAAAGAGUUGAUAUAAUUAAAACCUAAUAUUAUUAAAAAAAAUAACUUUAUGAAAGUUAUGAUAUUUUCAAAAUUUAAUACGACAGACAUAUUAUCAUAUCUGUAAUGUUAUAUCAAUUUAUUAUUUUCACCUUACUAAAAACUCAAUUAAUAGAUUAACAACGGUGAUUUUCGUCAAGAACAAAAUUCAAAUUUUGAGAAGUCUAGGAACUUAGAAUGAUCCUUUUGGAGAAUAUAGACUAAAUAUAUAAUUAUAUGUAUAAUACAAAACUAAUAAUUGAAUUUAACUAAACAUAUUUAAGCGUUAUUGUUUGAGUCAGGAUUAAAAUUGACCGAUUCAAAAAAUAUAAAGACUGAAAUUAAUUAAAUUGUGGGGACUAAAUCUAUAAUUUUCAUAAAUUACAGAAUUUAACCUAUCGAACCUAAUCCCAAGAUUCUGCCGUAUAGACCCAAUAGCCUAUAAAUUACAGAGGAUUUUCCCAAUGUUUUUCACUAACUAUUAGAAAAAAAAAUUAAUAUUUUUGUAAGAGAAAAAAAAAAGAGAGAAAAUGGGGGAAAAAAUGGGGUGCUGUAAGAGAACUGGACCUGGAUAUGCAACUCCAUUGGAAGCCAUGUCUGGUCCUAAAGAAACCAUUAUUUAUGUUAAUUGUAUUUAUAAUGGUACUUUUUUCCUUUUUUUUCUUUAAUGAUUUUCUGAUCUUUAAAAAUGAGUUUUUUCAAUGGAUUUGUAUAAAUAUAAUUGCAUGAUGUAUGCAGGAACGGGAAGAAAGAAGCCUGAUUUCCUAGCAACAGUUGAUGUAGAUCCAAACUCGCCAACUUAUUCUAAAGUCAUCCACAGGCUAUCUAUGCCAUAUAUAGGUGAUGAACUACAUCACUCGGGAUGGAAUGCAUGCAGCUCUUGCCAUGGUGAUCCAUCAACCACUCGACGUUUUCUAAUCUUGCCUUCCGUCGUGUAAGCAAUUAUCCCGGAUUUUCAUAUUAUAUCGAUGGAUAGGGACAUAUCUAUGUCGUUAAGGUACCAAGGUGCUGCUUGUUCUUAGGUCUGGCCGUGUGUAUGUGAUUGACACACAAAAGAAUCCCAAGGCUCCCUCUUUGCAUAAAGUGGUAGAAUCCGAGGAUAUCGUCGAGAAGACCGGCUUAGCGUAUCCGCACUCGUCGCAUUGCCUUGCUUCCGGGGAUAUAAUGAUAUCGUGUCUCGGUGACAAAGAUGGAAAUGCUAAAGGGAAUGGAUUUCUCCUCCUUGAUUCCGAAUUCAACGUCAAAGGGAGGUAAAUACGAUAAACUGAAACAAUGUAUAAACGAAUUGUGAAUAACCGUCACUUGUAAAAAAUCAUCAGGUGGGAGAAACCAGGGCAUAGUCCUCUGUUUAGCUACGAUUUUUGGUACCAACCUCGACAUAAAACCAUGAUCAGCUCGUCGUUGGGCGCUCCGGCUACCUUCACCCGAGGUUUCAAUAUCCAGCAUGUCAAAGAUGGUUUGUAUGCUAGACAUUUGCAUGUGUAUAGCUGGCCUGAUGGUGAACUUAAACAAACGUUGGAUCUCGGUGAAACUGGUCUCACACCCUUAGAG